AUAUAUAUAUAGAUAUCUCAAGGCAUGUAUGUAUGUAUAUAUAUAUAUACACAAACACUAUGUGUGUCUGUAUGUAAAGACCUAUCGAAUAAACUGCACUUUGCUUGGAAAGUAAAGGUUGUUGACAGGAAAAGCAUCCAACUGUAAACUCGUUUUGUCUUAGCCAUGCCAACAUGAGGCAAAUGGAUAUAAAAGUAAUAUAAACAUGGACACACACACACAUUCAGAGACAUGCUGCUACCUUCAAUUCAGGGGAAUUUUCAAACAUUUCUGGUGUAUUUGUGUGUGUAUAAUAAGAAGGAAGACUUUGGUUGAUCAACUUCAAACUACCAGACUCAACACUUGCCAAUACUGAGUUGUUUGUUUAUAUAUAUAUUUUUAUAACAUUCGAGUUAAAUCCUUUCUGUAAUAAGUACCGGUUAUAUUUUAGGGUUGUUUAGAUUGAUGUCUCCUCUAAACAAUUUGUGGUUUUUGUCCUGCUAUAUGAAUGUGAUCCAUUAGAUUGUCAUGUGGUGACAGAUUUAUCGUCAAAGUUGAUCCUAGCAGGUUCUUCCAAUUCAGAAUGCAUAUGUUUGAAUUGGCGUCGCGCCAGGCUUGACUUUAUUUUGUCCUGUUCCA